CAGUCGCCGCGGUAAUCCAGAGGGUGCGAGCGUUAAUCGGAUUUACUGGGCGUAAAGCGUGCGUAGGCGGCUUUUUAAGUCGGAUGUGAAAUCCCUGAGCUUAACUUAGGAAUUGCAUUCGAUACUGGGAAGCUAGAGUAUGGGAGAGGAUGGUAGAAUUCCAGGUGUAGCGGUGAAAUGCGUAGAGAUCUGGAGGAAUACCGAUGGCGAAGGCAGCCAUCUGGCCUAAUACUGACGCUGAGGUACGAAAGCAUGGGGAGCAAACAGGAUUAGAUACCCCGGUAGUCCCUGUCUCUUAUAC
rnacentral:rRNA from 1 species